CGCAAGCCUGAUCCAGCCAUGCCGCGUGUGUGAAGAAGGCCUUAUGGUUGUAAAGCACUUUAAGCGAGGAGGAGGCUACUUUAGAUAAUACCUAGAGAUAGUGGACGUUACUCGCAGAAUAAGCACCGGCUAACUCUGUGCCAGCAGCCGCGGUAAUACAGAGGGUGCAAGCGUUAAUCGGAUUUACUGGGCGUAAAGCGCGCGUAGGCGGCUAAUUAAGUCAAAUGUGAAAUCCCCGAGCUUAACUUGGGAAUUGCAUUCGAUACUGGUUAGCUAGAGUGUGGGAGAGGAUGGUAGAAUUCCAGGUGUAGCGGUGAAAUGCGUAGAGAUCUGGAGGAAUACCGAUGGCGAAGGCAGCCAUCUGGCCUAACACUGACGCUGAGGUG
rnacentral:rRNA from 1 species